ACCUUCCUCAUUUUAGAAAGGCUGAAAGUUUACCUGUUUGCUACCUUUACAGAGGUAAGAACGACCAGCAACUAUGAAGUUUCGGUCGCGGUGAUUAGGAGGUAUCCAGUUCUGAAGGGCUACCUGAUCUUCGAGAAAAAGUUUCAUAAUUCAUA